UUCGCAAUGCCCGAAAGGGUGACGAAGCGACGCCGCGUGUGGGAAGAAGGCCUUCGGGUUGUAAACCACUGUCGGGAGUUAAGAAAUGCAAGGAUAUUAAUAGUGUCUUUGUUUGACUAAGGCUCCGGAGGAAGCCACGGCUAACCCUGUGCCAGCAGCCGCGGUAAUACAGAGGCGGCAAGCGUUGUUCGGAAUUAUUGGGCGUAAAGAGCACGUAGGCGGCUAUGUAAGUCGGUUGUGAAAGCCUUCCGCUCAACGGAAGAACAGCAUCCGAUACUACAUGGCUUGAGUGCGGGAGGGGAGAGUGGAACUUCUGGUGGAGCGGUGAAAUGCGUAGAUAUCAGAAGGAACGCCGGCGGCGAAAGCGGCUCUCUGGCCCAUAACUGACGCUGAGUGUGCGAAAGCUAGGGGAGCAAACGGGAUUAGAUACCCCGGUAGUCCUAGCCGUAAACGAUGGGCACUAAGUAGAGGGGUUUU
rnacentral:rRNA from 1 species